CCUACGGGACGCAGCAGUGAGGAAUAUUGGUCAAUGGGCGAGAGCCUGAACCAGCCAAGUCGCGUGAGGGAAGACGGUCCUAUGGAUUGUAAACCUCUUUUGCCGGGGAGCAAAAAGCGGUACGUGUACCGCAUCGAGAGUACCCGGAGAAAAAGCAUCGGCUAACUCCGUGCCAGCAGCCGCGGUAAUACGUAGGUGGCAAGCGUUGUCCGGAUUUAUUGGGUUUAAAGGGUGCGCAGGCGGCGAGUUAAGUCGGCGGUAAAAUUUCGGGGCUCAACCCCGACGAGCCGGUGAAAAUGGCUUGC
rnacentral:rRNA from 1 species